UUUUUUGUUUGCGCGCUCUCUCCGCAAGGGACGUGAGAUUUUCGGCACCUUUUCCCUACAGUUUUUUUGUUUCGUUCCGCGCGGAGCACGCGGGAAUGUGUGAUAAGGGAGCAAAGAUUGA
ensembl:ncRNA Y47D3B.22 ncRNA